rnacentral:sRNA from 1 species
AAAUUUUUACUCUACCUCCACGCUGUUUCUAUUUUCCUGAGAAUCACAAACACAGCCAAAAACAAAUCAAAAAUAACAAGAAAAUAAAAAUUUUAUUUAUAGAAACAGUCUUGGGAAUUCCUCGCAAGUGAGCUUGUUUAAAGUCUCUAGCUUGACUCCUCACACUUAUUAAGAAGAAAAUGGGUGAUAGAGAGGAUCUGCAUAGUCCUCUCUAAUCUCAUCAUCAUAUUCAGCAUCCUCUCUUGAGAGAUGCGUAGCAGAAUACUUAAUU